GAUGGCUCCUUUCUGUUUGGCAGGUGUUAUUAAGCUGACUUGUUCAUAAAGUCCAGCUACUUGGCUUAGCAGUUCCUGUCUAGUCAGCGGGUUGGGUGUCUCAGGUCUCACCUCCUCUUUGGGAAGAUCCUUGCCUACCCUUAAGUUCCUUUUCUGUUUUGAAAAGUUGAUUGAGGCCAAUAUAUAUGGCUUGUCUUCCUCCACCUGGUAUCCGAUGCCCAGGGCUUUGUUGUCUUCAUCCCUCAUUUGGUUUAGAAGGAUUCUCCACUAAUUCUCCUGAACUCAGGACUUCUGUUGGAGUUCCAUGCCUCCCACUUGCCCUGACCGGAACCAUGGUUUGAGAAAGAAGCAUCCAGACUUCAGAAUCUCCUCAACUUCUCCUGUGAUUUUGUCCAGUUGCUUCAGGUUUUUAUGGGAAGUUAAGAGGUCAUCCACAUAACUAUCGUCUUCGUGGACUCUGCGUUCCUCUUCCAAGUGAGCAAAGAUGGUCACUCUUGCUGUUUCCCUCAUCGCUAACAGCAACCGGCUGGUCUGUCCCCGAUGUUGACUCUUGUGAUGGCAUAUUCUCCUAUCUCUUCGUCAGGACUCUCCCUCCAGAGGAAUCUGUGUGGAUGAAUUUCACACUCCUCCAACCCCAGUGAAUUGUACAUUUUCUUGAUGUCCCCUAGAGCUGCAUACACACCUUUUCUGAAUCUCAGCAGGACAGCUCUGAUAGGGUUGAGAACAUCUGGCCCCUUAAGAAUAUCUUUCAUGCUCUGUCCCCUGAACUUCUGGCUGCUGUUCCACACAAGUCGCACUGGAGUUGUUAAUGAAUAAGGGUGUGGUGCCACCAAGUGGAUUACAUACCACACUGUUCCCUUCCAGUCGCUCAUGAUCUCAUCAGUAAGUUUUAUGACUGUGCCUCGUUCAACCAGCUCAUGGACUUGGGUUGCAUAUGCGACUUGCCACUCUGGCUCUCUUCAGUCGCGUUUCCGUAUUACUGUCCGAUACUGUCCAACUUCCACCACUCCAGGAAGUCACGGUUAGUAGAAGCUUUAACCUACACCUCAGCCAUGUUUUGCUGUUGCAACCGGGCUGCCCAUUACAAUCUCCUCAUGCUUUGCUGCAGGUGUUCUCAUGGAGCGAGCAAAGUGUGUUCUAGACCCGUGUGCUGCCAGCUCUAUAUCCUCAAACAAGUCCGCCAACUGUCUUUCCCAAUGGACUCUCCCAUAAGAUGAGGUCUCCAACUACUUUCACCCUUUGUGGAGCGAGUCUUCCCUCUCUGUGACUGAUGAGAAGUUUAAUAUCUUCUGGCCUCUUCAACUCCUCGAGCUUGACCUCUGGGAACAUUUUCUAUAUCUUCUCUGAUCUGGUAACAUUUGGCACUUUGGGGAUCUCAUCCAGGCCAUAAGAGACAAGUUCAUGAGCCCCCUCUGUUCCUUUAGGCAUCUUGACUCUGACUCUGAGGAGAUAUCUCUCAGUGGUCACCUUCAUGGUCAUCCCACCUACCCCGUGCACAGUGUUGUGGUAGUUACUCAAAAAAGGUCAUUAGUUACUUACUACUAGUUACUUCUGUAAAUUGUAAUGAGAUUACGUUACUGCAUUUGAAAAGUAACUUCGCUACUUAUUACUUUACUUUCCCGUUUCUUAAUUUACUGUAAAUACAUGGACAAACAUCAUAGCCCUAUCAUCACUUAGUGUUAAUUGUAUACAUCUUUAUAUAAACCAUAUGAAAGAACAAUAUCCCUGUUUGCACAAAAAAAACACGGCUUGGGUAACGCAGGAAAGCGCAUUACUAUAGUCUAGUAAAGUAGUGUAGUUACCGACAUUUUAAAUGUAAAGCUUUACUUUACUUCGUUACCCAAAAAAGUAAUAUUGUUACUGUAACGCGUUACCCCCAACACUGCCCGUGCAGAACUACGGUUAUCUUCUCAGUUUGUAACCUCAACCUUAGAGCAGCCUUGUGGGUGAUCAGUAUCAUGAGGCCAGGAAGUUUGCACAGUCCAUUUGACUCCAAAAGCUCGGGCUGUUUCCUACCAGUGCUGCCUGUCAUUGGUUUCUUGUUAGUGAAGGCCUUUCCUGCUAACUCUGGGGAAAGUUCAGACAAGAACUCUUCCUGGUCCUCUGUUUGCUUGCGUUAUACCUCUGCUGCCUUUUUCACUCUUCUCCUCAUUUCCCCUUCUGAAUUCUCCUUUUGGGCAGAGAAAAUAGUGGUGAUCUGAGGUUCUCCCCUUCUUACAGUCAUUAUUUCUGCAUAGGAAAGAGUCUCUGCAAUAUCGAUCAUCAUCCUGACAUCCAAGACAUUUUCUGCAGGCUCCCAACUUUUUCACGGCAGCAUCCUUUUCUGGGGCGGCGCCAAACGGUUGCUUGCCGUUGCUAUAGCAACUCCAAGCAAUUACUCAGAAACCCCAGAGCAACCCCUGAUUUUUUGUCAAACUCAAACAACAUAUUUGAAAUAAUGCCAUUUUCCGUAAAAUGGUAUUAAAUAAGUUCAACUAAACCUAUGGCCGAAUGCGGUACCCGUCACCAUACCGACCAUUCCUGUCAUAUGAAUCACCAGAUUAAGUGCAUAAUCAGUGAGUAGCGUCAACAUUUCAGGGCCGUGACUGGACUGUCGUUCAAAUCAACACGAGUCAGCCUGGGACUCUCCUCUCCUCCCCUCCCCCUCACCGUGCCCAGUUCCCGAGCGUUGGGCAUGCUUGCAAACGUCCUGUGAUCAAGACAUCGAUUUAAGGUAGGCCGUUUGGUUAUUAAGUUUGCCCGUCGCAGCAUAUUGACUUGGGCCCUUUCCCAUUCCUUUGCUCUAAAGAAAAUCUCAGCCCUAGCCCUCGCUGUUGCGCGUGCACGCACCGUGGAGCAAUGUCCCAAUACCACUUUAAGGUAGCUUUAAGGGGUAAGAGGGAGGGCUAACAUCCCCUCAAAAUUGAGAUUUUCGAUGGGUACCCUCAAAGCGAUUCAGUUCUGACUUGCUCCCACAAUACCUUGCGAGAAAACGGAAAAUCAAGAAAUAUCCCAGACAAGAUGGAGGACGAAAAGAUGCGACAGGAUUGGAAAAACACAAAUGACAUCGUUGAGUCCACUGCCACCAGCCCCCCCACCUCUCCCUCAUGCUCCUCCACCCCAGGCACCUCUUCCACCACCCCAGACACCCCUUCCAAGAGGAGAGUGCCAGGGGGCAGGCGAGGCAUGAGGAGAGCGAGGCAAAGUUGGCGGAAUGGUGGAGAAGAUGUGAUUCUCCACCAUUCUCUCAAAAGCUGAGAGAGAGUGUGUGUGUGUGUGUAUUUUUAGGUUUGCGUGUGUGUGUAUUUUUAGAUGCGUGUGUGUGUAUUUUUAGAUGUGUGGUUCAGUGUUUCUUAUUUAAAUAAAGUGUUUCUUCUAAAGUGUUCUUGUUCAUAACCGAUUAUUAUCUAAGGGUGCACUCACACUAGGCCAUCUGUCCGUGGCCAUGGCCGUUUUAGCACCUAACCGUGCUCAAAUCUGCCAGUGUGAGUGUGGCCAGUCUGGCUAAUACCACCUUUAACAGUAUUAUUAUUUUUUUAACACUUUAUUUAAACAUGCCAAUUACAAAAUAUAAAUACCAUUUCAGGUUAAACAUCUUUACAAUGGGUCUUGCUCGUUGCCCGAGACAAUGGCAGCCAGUCUGUCUCUUGUAACAUUACCAGGGGUCUGGUUAUCUGCUAGGGGGCACGGGGAGGCCAUGAUGACGUCACAGGGUAGGGUUGUCCCAUUUGGUAGGGGAUCGGUUAGGGUAGCAAUGAGGGGUAGCAAUGAGCAUGAGCAAUGAGGGUAAGGGUUGAGAUGUAGGGUUGAGACAGUGAGCAAAGAAACGGGAUUGGGCCUUGGGGCCCAUGUGAUUUUGUUUUGAAGUAGAACUAGAUUCUAGGUUUGGCUCAUACCAAAGGAUGGGUUUAUCGUAGCCUGGUAUGAUCUGCCCUUAAUAGAAGUAUUAUGAAGUAUAAUAGUAUCAACAAUAAUAGCAACUAUUGUAUUAAUGUUCCACAUAGGCCUACAUUUGAGACGUAUCGCGCAACUAAUGUGAAUGCUUUGGAAUGUACCGUGGCGACGGUGGGUCUGAGAUGUGCAAUUCACCACUAUUGACAGGACAGCUAACCUUGUAGUUGGGGGACUGCUGACGGGCUGUUGAUUGAGAGAACUAUGUUGUUUGUUAUAUGUCGUGUGGCCGCAGUGCCACCUGGACUAGCAGUGAAUGUGUACAUGCCGCUGGGCUAUUUUCAUGUUGGCCUUCUUAAAGAUCUUCCUCUAUAUUGUUCUAUGUCUUUACGUCUUUAUGUCUGUGCGUGUGUGAGGGAGAGGGAGAAAGAUAGCGCACGUUGAACUGUCAAAUGAUACGAUCACACUCAAUCACAGUGGUGCGAUUAGUCUGUGUUGUUACUGUACUGUAAACUUGCCUCGUACGGGACCGCAACCACCCCAACCCGUGCCGAAAAUGUCUUCCCGGCCGUGCCUCUGCCAAAUUCAGGUGUUUUGAUCAAGGUUUUUUUUUUUGACCAGCAACCUCUUGAAUUCAUACAGCAACUGUUAAGCAACUGCAACAAAUUAUUUCUGGCGCCGCCACUGCUUUUCAGGCAACUUAACCCCCUGAAUACCCUACAGAAGAAUAUUUUGUCACUGUGUCUCCCCUCACCGCACACAGUGCAUACAUCUCCCGGAUGUAAUGGAUUGGGAGAGGACCCAAAAGCAGCACACGUAGGCAGGCAGACAGUCGGUAAUGACCUUUAUUUACAGAAACGAGCAGACGGACGACAGGCAGGGCGCCGGCAGAGGGUCUCACUGGGCUGUACCUCUAUUUAAUGGAAAUUAAUCUGAGGAAUUCCAUAUGUUAACCAUAUUUAUAAAUUCUACUGGGAAACCAUAAACUUCCAACACUUUAAAUAGGUAUGCUCUCUGAAGACGAGGCUUUUUCUGCAUCCACAGCCAUAAGUGUUCAGUCUAUUUCAUUUUAAGUCCUAGUAUUGGUUCUUAACUCUGUAUACUGUAUAAAUCCCGUCUGGUUUUGAUGGAUGAUCUCAGGUAGAAAUUGAGCAAGUCUAUUAUUUAUAACUUUAGUAAUAAUCACAAUAAUCACCUAAUAGGUCCAGUGGCGAACUUAGCCCUUUGGGGGCUCCAGGCGAACAGUCAUUUGGGGGCCCCUGCAUCUACCGGUCUAAUGUACCUUAUAUCGCAUAAUAUAUGGCAUAAUGAGAUACUCCAUACAAGGGAUGAACAAAAGUCACUAUCCUUCUUUCAUGCAAAUGUUAAUUAUCUAUUUAAAAAUUGAGAAAAAAAUACAAAACAAUAAGAUUCGUUAUGUUGACACAUUACACUGACUGUUAACCUUAUGUCAUCAUUUACCUGAGGGUUUCCAGUAGGUCACAGCAGCUAUCUGCUGUGACCUACUGGAAACCACCAGUGGCGUCAGUUUGGUUUGAAAUGUGGUGGGGACAGAGACGCAAUCUGGAAUGCAUUUUUAGAAGUGCUGGGGAUGCACCUUAUUUUUCUUUAGCGCAGGUCAUGAAAGGUUCUGAAGACGGGAUACCUGUGUAGCUUACUAAAUAAUAAAAUGUGUCUGACACAUUUUAUGAAGAAAGCGUUUUCAAAAAGCAUUGGACAUGAAUGACCCACAAUGUUCUGCUCCAUGAUGCACUCAAUGUUGACGUGACAUGACAUGAGCUAUACCAAAAUAAACAAAGAGGGGCUUAUUACCUACGUGUUUAAGUUCAGAAGGGGCAAACGUAUACACACAGCACUACAAAUGUCAAGAUCGAAAAAGCUAAAAAUAAUUAUAGCUGAACGCUUUAUAUCACAUCAUGAGCUGGCUCAAUUCACAACACACAUCCAUCCAAUCUACAUGGCAUUCUGACCAAAACCCAUGCACUCCCCCCCCCCCCCCCCCCCACACACACACAA